GAGCUCGUCCAUGGCUGCCGCUGCUCCCGGCGAUGGGGACGCUCGAGGUUGACGGGGGAGCAGAGACGCUCGAGGUUGACGGGCGAGCAGAGACGCUCGAGGUUGACGGGGGAGCAGAGACGCUCGAGGUUGACGGGGGAGCAGAGACGCUCGAGGUUGACGGGGGAGCAGAGACGCUACCGCCGGCGGCGGCCCCUCCGGAGUGCAAGAGGAUGAGCGACGGGGAGGGGGCGAAUGGGGAGGGUGGCGGAUGCGAUCUAGGGUUUGGAGAG
rnacentral:lncRNA from 1 species